UCCAGUGCGCCGCCACCCCUUGCCACGCUGCUGCGCGCCGCCGGGCGCGACGACGGCGAUCUCCGGCCAGAUUCGGUCGAGGAGGCGAGGCAGUGGCCGGAUCCUGUUCCGGAGACGGCGUGGAGGUGAUCCAGGAGACGCGGGAGGAGGUCUAGCAGCGGGGCUUGAACUCCAAGUUCAUGGCGUUGGUGUUCGUCGCCGGUUCCGAGCGAGAUGGCGAGCUCCGGCUGAGUCUCUACAUGGAUACGGUGGCGUUGCGACACGGCGUCGACGGGAGGCGAUGGAGAUGAGCAGCUUCUGUCCAUCCUGCAGCAAUGGCGAAGCUAAUGCGGAAGUAUGCGUGUGUGAAGACCUGGUGUUCCUGGCUUCCGGCGGCCCAUGGUGGGGGAGGACCAAGUGAUGGCCUUCUUCGGCGACUUCAUGGGCGUGUCAGCCCUCAUCUCCACUUCGUCAUCGACGACAUCUACGACCACGACACCUGGCACCUUGGGUAUGAUUGUCAUAUGUGCAAUGGGUGCAGAGUGGAAGGGGCUGCCAUUCAAGUUCAGCAGGGGCUGCACCUUCUACCGCAGUGAGCCCGACCCGCAUCGGUAGCAGCGGAUUCAGAUUGUGACCGGCAUUGCAUGCCAGCAGUUUCACACCAAAGGAAAGAUAAGGGAAGCAGAAGCAGACUCUGCACGACGAGG